rnacentral:rRNA from 1 species
UACGGAGGGUGCAAACGUUGCUCGGAAUCAUUGGGCGUAAAGCGCACGUAGGCGGUUCGGUAAGUCGGAUGUGAAAGCCCUCGGCUCAACCGAGGAAGUGCAUUCGAAACUGCCAGACUUGAGUAUGGAAGAGGGUCGCGGAAUUCCCGGUGUAGAGGUGAAAUUCGUAGAUAUCGGGAGGAACACCAGUGGCGAAGGCGGCGACCUGGGCCAAUACUGACGCUGAGGUGCGAAAGCGUGGGGAGCAAACAGG